GGGGGCAUGGCUCAGUGGUAGAGCAUUUGCUUUGCAUGCUGAGGGCCCUGGGUUCAAUCCCCAGCACCUCCA